AACAACUUCUAUAGCAUAGAAUCAUUUCUAUAGUAAACGUCCUCUUCUGAGCUCCUUACCAGAGCCACAGAAUCCUCACCCUGGUUGAUGAUUCAACGUCCUCGAUACCCUAGAGUGAAGCCUUUUGUACCUUCGCUAGUUCCAGCUUUCUCUCCGGAGAUCGUCGGCAGAAGGUGGUGAUGAUCUUGACCUGCCUGGAACGUCUGGUCUCGUGCCGGUUCCGGUGGGAGGUAUCGAUGGACUGAGUCUGACAGGU
rnacentral:snoRNA from 1 species